ensembl:lncRNA
GUUCCAGGCUGAGAGGAGAUACAGCUUGAUGGUUUUGUUACUGGAUCCUUUUAAGUAACCCCUUUCCCCCAAAUAAAACUUUCUAAAAGCCAAAUCCAUCUUAACUGCAGGUGGCUUCCUUUCUUUGUUUUAUGCUGUUAACUAGGAAAGCUUUGCAGUGCCCCCAGAGAUUUAUCAGAAUAUCACGAGACUUUUUUUUUUUGAAAGGGGACUCUAGGGACCUGAAUGCAUCCUUUGGGAAGAUGACCUUCCAGGAUGCACCUACAUCUGAAAUAUGAAAGCAGAUGUAGUGUUUGUUUUGGCUGCACUCUGCAAGGUCACUUCACCCUAUGGCUUUUAGCUUACCUGUUGCUGUUCUGCUGUGUGCUGCUGGGAAGGGUGAUUUCACAUUUCCUAUGCUCUGCCAACAUUGAAAAUUCUGAGAAAAGAA